CUUCAGCCUAAAGAUGUGGCAGAAGAAGUUAGAGGAGAUACAUUUGGAAGUCAUUCUCUUGGAAUACAAAACUUAAGUGAACAAGUAGAAACAACAUUUACAUUUGAUAGUUCAUUAGUGGAGGCUGGUAGAACACCACAUGAAUCACUGGUGUCAGAAUCAUCAAUACUGUCCCCAUUGUUUUCCACAACCCUUGAUCCAGACAUUGAUUUUGGCCCAGGAGGAAUAGUAGUAGAGGCCACUCCGCCAUCACCUCCCAUUGCAAUUAGCGAAGAGGAGACACUCAUAUCUGAAGGAACUGUCAUGCCAAGCAUUUUAACCUCCACCUCUGAAAAGCAGCCUUCUGUAAAACUAGUACUCCCAAUAGGAUUAACAGAUAUUCCUUUGGAUAAUGCUGACACUACCAAGUCAUCUAUAUCUUCUUCAGUGCACAGUACUAGCUCAAUAACAGAGGACAGAGUCAAAGAUACAGUCGAUACAACACAUGUCAUGGGAAUGACAACUCAGAAAGAUGACUCUUUCAAAACGACAACACACACAGUUUUUUCUGGCCUAGGGCUUACUUCUGCACAUAUGGACCGUUUGGAUACAGAUGAAGCAGGCUUGAGUGUUCAGACAACUGAAGUGUUCAAUUUGACACUCCCAUCUCAAGUACAUAGUACAACAACAACAAGAAAAAUGGACAUAGGAUUUACAUUUAGACCAUCAUCAAGUGAGACUGUUAAAAUGCAGAAAGAGGCAACUUCAGAAUUCAUGAUGCCAUCAACAAAGAAUGUAGUAAUGACAACAGCAAAACAUGAGCUUUCACCAUCAAGUUUUCCUUCAGUUUUACCAUCUACAGAGUCAGACCAAGAACUUACCAAAACCACCAAAACAAUCUCAGGGUCCAGCUCAACAGAUGCUGAGAUCACAGGAGAUCAGACAACUAAGACACAUAGUACAGAACAUGUUUCCACUCUUGACACUACUGAAACUAGCACAGAACAUACAUUUAUAUCAUCGAGCACUGGGGCUCUAGAUCUCACCGAAAGCACAGAAACAAUCUCAGAGUCCAGCUCAACAGAUGUUGAGGCAACAGGAGAACAGACAAAUGAGGCACAUAGUAGAAAAGCUGUUUCCUCUCUUGACUCCACUGUAACUAGUACCAUAAAUACAUUUACAUCAUUGAGCACUCAGGACUCAACAGAACAAACAGUCACAAGUCAAGAUAUAUCACAUACAACAACAACCACAGCUACUCCAAUGGACAAAGAUCUGCCAGCAAAACAAUCUGAAUCCACUAUCAUUAAUGUUACACAUAAUCUUUUUUCCUCUGCUCAAACUGGACAGUUAGACGAGACAUUAUCUGAAAGCACUAUAAUAAGCACAGUGUCUACAGAGAAGACAACUGCCAAAGAUGUGCUGCCACCAUCACAUUUUACGGUAAUUUUGGCAUCUUCUGAGCCUGAAGC
ensembl:lncRNA